CGCCAGACUCCUACGGGAGGCAGCAGUAAGGGAUAUUGGUCAAUGGGGGAAACCCUGAACCAGCAACGCCGCGUGAGGGAAGACGGUUUUCGGAUUGUAAACCUCUGUCCUCUGUGAAGAUGAUGACGGUAGCAGAGGAGGAAGCUCCGGCUAACUACGUGCCAGCAGCCGCGGUAAUACGUAGGGAGCGAGCGUUGUCCGGAUUUACUGGGUGUAAAGGGUGCGUAGGCGGCUUGGCAAGUCAGUAGUGAAAUCCAUGGGCUUAACCCAUGAACUGCUAUUGAAACUGUCGAGCUUGAGUGAAGGAGAGGGAGGCGGAAUUCCUAGUGUAGCGGUGAAAUGCGUAGAUAUUAGGAGGAACACCAGUGGCGAAGGCGGCUUACUGGACUGUAACUGACGUUGAGGCUCGAAAGCGUGGGGAGCAAACAGGAUUAGAUACCCUCGUAC
rnacentral:rRNA from 1 species